GACGUAGGGCGCGAGCGUUGUCCGGAUUUAUUGGGCGUAAAGAGCUCGUAGGCGGCUUGUUGCGUCGACUGUGAAAACCCGCGGCUUAACCGCGGGCUUGCAGUUGAUACGGGCAGGCUAGAGUUCGGUAGGGGAGACUGGAAUUCCUGGUGUAGCGGUGAAAUGCGCAGAUAUCUGGAAGAACACCCGUGGCUAAGGCGGCUCUCUAGUACGGUACUGACGCUGAGACGCGAAAGCGUGGGGAGCGAACAGG
rnacentral:rRNA from 1 species